CAGUUACCACCUUUAUAUGUUCAUGUAGCAUCUCACUUUUCCCUACCCCCCUGGGAAGUUCCAGCUGUUCGGGUCUGUUCUUUCUCACUCCCUUGCUUGAAAGCUCAACUGCCUACGGUGGCUUCCCGCUCUCUUUUUCUUGAUCACUUCCACUCCCAUCUGUGUACACCGCUGUGUACACAGAUGGCUCUAAGUCUUCAGACGGCGUCGGAUUUCCAGCAGUGUUUCCGGACAGCGUCGUGCGGGGACAUUUACUAUCUUCAGCUAGCAUUUUACUGCUGAACUGUAUGCCAUUCUUGCAGCACUUAUUCGUAUCGCAUCUAUGCCUGUGUCAUCAUUUGUAGUAGUCUCAGACUCCCUUAGUGCUCUACAGGCUAUACGAAAAUUUGAUACAUCUCAUCCCCUAGUUCUCCAUAUCCAACUUUGGCUACGCCGUAUCUCUACCAAACAUAAAGAUAUUGUUUUUUGUUGGGUCCCUGGUCAUGUCGACGUACAGGGCAAUGAACAGGCAGACACUGCUGCGCGGUCAGCAGUACAUGACCUACCAAUUUCCUAUCGAGGUGUUCCAUUUCUGGACUAUUUUGCUGCAAUAGCUACCCACCUUCACACCCGUUGGCAACAACGUUGGUCAACUCUGCUCGGUAACAAACUUCAUUCUGUUAAACCGAGCAUAGGUUACUGGCCGUCUUCUUGUCAUCAGUGCCGAGGUUGGGAGACCACUCUCUCCCGCCUUCGCAUUGGUCACACUCGUCUUACUCAUGGGUAUCUCAUGGAGAGGCACCCUGUUCCUCUCUGUGAGCAGUGUCAAGUUCCAGUAUCGAUUAGCCACAUUCUGUUAGACUGCCCUCUCUAUCAACGAGCACGCAGAAUUUACCUCCAACGUCGUCUUCGUUCUACUUUCUCUCUCUUUACCUUCCCUUCUUGCUGAUGGACCCUCCUUUAAUCCUGACUCUCUCAUUGACUUCUUGACAACGACUGAUUUACUCCACAAACUCUGAUGAUACUUUUCGCACUCCCCUCAGCCCUUUCUAGUUCAGUCUCUUGCUGCCCUUUACCCUUUCACCAUCCACUGCCCCGCUGUUAUCCGUAACCUAUUACUCAUCCAUCUCCCUUUUGCCACCUGAUGCCCUCGCUUCCUUCCUGCCCUGCAGCGCUGUAUAGUCCUUGUGGCUUAGCGCUUCUUUUUGAUUAUAAUAAUAAUAAUACAAAUGGGGUGAAAAAUCCUUACCAUAAUUCAAAAACGGGUAUGGAUUGGUCUGUACAAAUGUUACGGCUGUUUUGUUUCAGAUGUGAUAAUAUACUGUAAACAUGAUUUGCCAGUUUUGUCCAUGUUAACAAAUACGUGUGGUUUUUAAAAGUCCUGGAACAUUGUUCUUUUUUCAACUAAUGUAUUUAGACAAAAUGAAUACACUUAGUCAAACCAUUAUGUAUGAAUAUCUAAAUAAAAAACAAUUCUAUUUUGUGAAAAUAAAGGAUGGAAAGGACUACUGGGUUAAAUUAACACUUUUCAAAAGUAAUCAUCAAAAUACAGCAUGUGAUUAUUUAGAAUAACAGUAUAUUAGUGGUGCUGCUAUUUUUAAAAUUACCAUAGUUAAUUAUAAUACUCUGUUUUUCUUUCUUACAUUCUGACAAAUUUAGGACCAUAAUGAGAGAAGUAUGGAGAAUCUGACAGAAAUUGUCCAAGGCUAGUUUUCAGAAGGCACGCACCAUCAAUAUUAAUCUGAAGAAAAACAGGGAACAUGAAUAUAGUGAUUAUGCACGUACCUUGAGAGCUAGUCCGAGGAUCCCAUUUAAUGCCAGUGAGCAGCCAAAGGCCCCGGUACUUAAACCUUCUCCAUUUCCAAUUUUAGUAAAAAAGCCAUUGCUUAAGAAGACAAAAACUGUUGGCUCUUCUUUUGCUCCUAAGUUUAUAAAAGGCAAGAGAGCAUUGGCUGCAGACUAUUUUUAAUCAAAUGUUAUACCAAGAACAUGAAACCACAGUACCAUAUAGGUACCUUUAUAUUUUAACAAUUACAUGUACUUCCCGACUUCAUUUGAGGUAAACAUAGAAAUCACUUUUCUGUAUUGUGACUAUAAUACCAUCUUGUAAGAUAUUUAGAAUAAAAUAAAGAAACAUA